GGGUGGAGAAGGAGGGACUGCAGGAGGUGGAGGUGGAGGAGGAAGGCCCGCGGACGUGCAACAAGUUAAGAGGCCGCCGCCGCUACUACCGUCGACAUCGCUGCCGUCGCCACCGUCCUCGCCACGAUGUGACAUGGAUAUCCUAGCCGUAGCCUGCGCCCUCGUCGCCACGGCCCUCUAUUGCAACACCCUGCAAGCGGGUUUCGUCUACGA